ensembl:processed_transcript
AUGGAUUCAGCGUCAGCAGAAGAUCUUACAUGUCCUGUGUGUAAAGAAGUCUUCAAGGAUCUUUUUGUUUUAACAUGUAAACACAAAUACUGUACAGAGUGUCUUCGAUCAUUCUGGAGAGACACAGAAACAAAGUGGUGUCCUUUGUGCAGUAGAAGAUCCUCACAAGGGCUUCCUCCACAUAUGUGCAUUUUACACAGAGAGAAACCCCAGCUCUACUGUGUGGAGGACCAACAGUUCGUGUGUUUAACAUGUGUUAACUCUGAAGAACACACCAAUCACACAUUCAAAUCCAUCAGAGGAGCCAUUUCAUCAUAUAAGGAGACAAAAGAGAGAAGUUCAUCAGAGUCAGAGGAGAUCUGCAGUUUACAUGAUAAGAAACUCCAGCUCUUCUGUCAGGAAGAUGAACAGCCUAACAAACAACUUGUGUGUUUAGAGUGUGUUACCUCUGAAAAACACACCAAUCACACAGUCAAACACAUUAGUGAAGUUGAGAAACUCAAAACAGAAAUAAAGACAUUAGAAGAGAAUCGUAAACACAAAGAAAACAUUAAAGGAGAGUUUGAGGAAUCAGCUAAACACAUCAAGUUUAAGGUCGACUACACACAGAAACAGAUUGAACAUCAGUUUGAGAUGCUUCACCAGAAACUCGAAGAGGAAAAACAAGCAGCAAUCGCUGCACUGAGGGAGGAAGAGGAGGAGAUAAUGAAGAAGACAGUGGAGGAGAUCGAGAGUCAGAUCUCAACACUUACAGAUGCAAUCAAAGACACAGAGGAGAUGCUGAACGCCAGUGAUGACUGCUUACUGAAGGACGCUGAUGUCUUUAUAAGAAGAGUCCAGAUCUCUCAGCCGUAUCCAGAACUGCCAUCUGCAGCUUCAGUAAAUGUGUCACGGUACUUGGGGAACCUGAUGUCCAACAUCAAGAAAAAGAUGGAGGAGACGAUUAAUAACAUUUUCCAGUACAGUAAGUCUACAGAACUUCUCUGA